AAUAUAUUUAUUUCAAAAUCUUAAUUCUAAAAUAGUGUCCACUUUCUUCUUCUUUUCUCUGAGUGUAUAUUUGUUCUUUAUUAAUUCUGAUGGUUUAGCACCCAAAGGAAACAUCGUGGUGGGAGAUAAGCCUUCUGGGCGUGGCUUCGUCUUAGGUGCCCCUCCUCCUGCUAGAGGCGACACCGAUGUACCAACAGAGCGAACACGUCAACCACCUGCACCAACACCUGCACCAGCACCCAAAGGAAACAUCGUGGUGGGAGAUAAGCCUUCUGGGCGUGGCUUCGUCUUAGGUGCCCCUCCUCCUGCUAGAGGCGACACCGAUGUACCAACAGAGCGAACACGUCAACCACCUGCACCAACACCUGCACCAGCACCUACGCUGAAUCUGAAGGGAAUCUUUGCAAGCAGAUUAAGUAAACAAAGUAAACCUUUUAGGCUUGUUCCCGCGGAAAAGAGUGAGC